UACGUAGGGGGCAAGCGUUGUCCGGAUUUAUUGGGCGUAAAGAGCGUGUAGGCGGUUUGGUAGGUCCGCUGUGAAAACUCGAGGCUCAACCUCGAGACGCCGGUGGAAACCAUCAGACUAGAGUCCGGAAGAGGAGAGUGGAAUUCCUGGUGUAGCGGUGAAAUGCGCAGAUAUCAGGAAGAACACCCGUGGCUAAGGCGGCUCUCUAGUACGGUACUGACGCUGAGACGCGAAAGCUAGGGUAGCAAACAGG
rnacentral:rRNA from 1 species